rnacentral:rRNA from 1 species
CCUACGGGAGGCAGCAGUGGGGAAUAUUGCACAAUGGGGGAAACCCUGAUGCAGCAACGCCGCGUGAGCGAAGAAGGCCUUCGGGUCGUAAAGCUCUGUCCUAAGGGAAGAAGCAUGACGGUACCUUAGGAGGAAGCCCCGGCUAACUACGUGCAAGCAGCCGCGGUAAUACGUAGGGGACGAGCGUUAAACGAAAUCACUUGACGUAAGGGGUGCGUAGGCGGCCCAUUAAGCCAGAGGUGAAAGGCUUCGGCUGAACCGGAGUAAGCCUUUGGAACGGAAUGGCUUGAGUGCAGGAGAGGAGAGUGGAAUUCCUAGUGUAGCGGUGAAAUGCGUAGAUAUUAGGAGGAUCACCAGUGGCGAAGGCGACUCUUUGGACUGUAACUGACGCUGAGGCACGAAAGCGUGGGGAGCAAACAGGAUUAGAUACCCUAGUAGUC